UGCGUAGGGCGUGUUUCAUCACGAUAUUUGGAAAGCUCACGCCCUUUAGGCGGGCGGUGCGCACGUAUUGUGCUGUCAUAACUUCGGUCAUAGAGGCGCGGGUCAUGCGGGCGAUGUAGCCCAUGCCGUAAAGCGCGAUCGUUAUGACGGGUAAGAAGAAGUUAUUGAACGUUAUGUCA
rnacentral:ncRNA from 1 species